AUCCAGCUGACAAGUCCAAAAUAGGAAGAAACACGCGUCCUGAAU
rnacentral:hammerhead_ribozyme from 1 species